CUCAAGUUGAAAGGAAAUGUAUACAGUCCUCUGUUGGGUUUUGAUCAAAACUCCGCAAAGUAGAAUGCAAAAAUGAUCUCCAUUAAUCUUCAAAAAUGCUGCGACGCUGAUUUUAUACGGAGGCUGACGCGCAUCGGACACCUUUCAGUUUCUCACUGCGCUUUCGGACAUUAGUCGAUUUAAAGCAACUGGGAUCCCCGCGGAGCUGCCUAGGAGAAGGAUCCUAAUAUCACGUAUCAGUUAGAUGACCAAGGAAGGGCCGACAUUACUGCACAAGCUCGGAUCAAUGGGAUACUGCUGGGGAUACAGUGGACCACACCUACAUGCUGGUUAAAUCCCUCUGAUUGGACAUCACAUGGAUGACUUGACCACCGCCAUGAUGUUUGUGCACAUGGAGCAAGGGGCAAAGAAGCAGCUGUGAGGAGCCUGGAAGGUCGCCCCCUGCUUCUCCCCUCACCUGUGUCACCGCCGCCCGUCAGGGCCGUCAGGGUGCGUCAGCCAUCUGCUUUGGCAUCUUUUCACCUGUGGCGCUGAGCAGCUCCUCGCUGGCUAACAUGCCUCUACCCUCACCCACCCAUCCCAAUUCUUCAAGGAAUCUGUCACUCACCUGUCAUCUCUUUCAUCAACUCCUAGUUUUCCCCCUUCCCUUUUACAACGGUGACGGUGAAGGUGGGAAAGGAACCAUUGGAGCAAAAAUGGUGACCAUUAUGUCCCAGUUCCAGGUUUAGUCACUGCCAAGGAUGAUGCAUCAGAGAGUUGAUGACUGACGGCCAACUCACACUAAAACAGAUUUCCCUUUGGAAAAAUUCAAAAAUCUACAAGUUAAAUAUUUGGCACACUUGAAGAAAGUUGUAUUUUUCACUUGUACCAUAUUAUAUUGCAUGAUUAUAUCUUGUAUGACAGAAUGACAAUGUAAAAUGUAAAGUCGACAUAUU